rnacentral:rRNA from 1 species
UACGGAGGAUGCGAGCGUUAUCCGGAUUUAUUGGGUUUAAAGGGUGCGUAGGCGGCAUUAUAAGUUAGUGGUAAAAUAUUGGGGCUUCACCUCACUACGCCAUUAAUACUGUAGAGCUAGAGAACAGACGAGGUAGGCGGAAUAAGUUAAGUAGCGGUGAAAUGCAUAGAUAUAUGGAAGAACACCAGUGGCGAAAGCGGCUCUCUGGUCUGUAACUGACGCUGAGGUUCGAAAGCGUGGGUAGCAAACAGG